GAUGAACGCUAGCGGCAGGCCUAACACAUGCAAGUCGAGGGGUAGAAGCUUUCGGGCUUUGAGACCGGCGCACGGGUGCGUAACGCGUAUGCAAUCUGCCUUGUACUGAGGGAUAGCCCAGAGAAAUUUGGAUUAACACCUCAUAGUAUUUUUGCCUGGCAUCAGGUGAUUAUUAAAGGUUACGGUACAAGAUGAGCAUGCGUCCCAUUAGCUAGUUGGUAUGGUAACGGCAUACCAAGGCUACGAUGGGUAGGGGUCCUGAGAGGGAGAUCCCCCACACUGGUACUGAGACACGGACCAGACUCCUACGGGAGGCAGCAGUGAGGAAUAUUGGUCAAUGGGCGCAAGCCUGAACCAGCCAUGCCGCGUGCAGGAUGAAGCAUCUAUGGUGUGUAAACUGCUUUUGUACGGGAAGAAACACUGCUACGUGUAGCAGCUUGACGGUACCGUAAGAAUAAGGAUCGGCUAACUCCGUGCCAGCAGCCGCCGUAAUAC
rnacentral:rRNA from 1 species